UUGAACGCUGGCGGAAUGCUUUACACAUGCAAGUCGAGCGGUAGUCCUUCGGGGCGAGAGCGGCGAACGGGUGAGUAAUGCAUCGGAAUGUAUCCUGUAGUGGGGAACAACCUAGCGAAAGUUAGGCUAAUACCGCAUAAGCCCUGAGGGGGAAAGAGGGGGACCGCAAGGCCUCUCGCCAUUGGAGCAGCCGAUGUCAGAUUAGCUAGUUGGUGAGGUAAAGGCUCACCAAGGCGACGAUCUGUAGCGGGUCUGAGAGGAUGAUCCGCCACACUGGGACUGAGACACGGCCCAGACUCCUACGGGAGGCAGCAGUGGGGAAUUUUGGACAAUGGGCGCAAGCCUGAUCCAGCCAUUCCGCGUGAGUGAAGAAGGCCUUCGGGUUGUAAAGCUCUUUCGGCGGGGAAGAAAUCGUACUUGCUAAUACCGAGUAUGGAUGACGGUACCUGAAGAAGAAGCACCGGCUAACUACGU
rnacentral:rRNA from 1 species